rnacentral:lncRNA from 1 species
UCUCUCUCUCUCUCUCUCUCUCUCUCUCUCUCUCUCUCUUCUCUCUAUAAUGACCCAAAGGGUGUUUCUCUUCACUGAGAAUGAAAGGGAAGGGGGGAAGCAGCAUAUAUAGUUUUUAACAAACUUGCCAAGGUGGAAGAGUAGAUAUGUGAGAACAGCUGGGAGAAUAGAUAAGGUAUAUUGGAAGUGGUUAAUUUAACAUAUUUGUGGUCAUUUUCCU